ACUAUGUUUUUACCACUAUGACAAGGUAGGUCCCACUAUGUGUUUACCACUAUGACAGGGUAGGUCCCCACUAUGUGUUUACCACUAUGACAGGGUAGGUCCCCACUAUGUGUUUACCACUAUGACAGGGUAGGUCCCCACUAUGUGUUUACCACUAUGACAGGGUAGGUCCCCACUAUGUGUUUACCACUAUGACAGGGUAGGUCCCCACUAUGUGUUUACCACUAUGACAGGGUAGGUCCCCACUAUGUGUUUACCACUAUGACAGGGUAGGUCCCCACUGUAUGCCUAAUAUUAAAGUAGUCUCGAGGUAUUGCUCGCCCGAGGUAGAGUACCUCAUGAUAAGCUGUAGACCACACUGUCUACCAAGAGCGUUCUCACCGCCGUCUACAAACCGUUGCUGGUGCGAAGACCGCACUCCGUAGCCGAUGUGAGCAAGACCUUUAAACAGGCCGCGGGGCCAGACGGGUUACCAGGACGUGGACCAACUGGCAAGUGUCUUCACUGACAUUUUCAACUUCUCCCUGUCUGAGUCUGUAAUACCUACAUAUUUCAAACAGACCACCAUCGUCCCUGUGCCCUAGGAAGCGAAGGUGACCUGCGUCAAUGAUUACCGCCCCGUAGCACUCACGUCGGUAGGCAUGAAGUGCUUUGAAAGGCUCACAUCAACACCAUCAUCCCAGAAACCCUGGACCCACUCCACACUGCCCUUUCCCACCUGGACAAAAGGAAUCCCUAUGUGAGAAUGUUGUUCAUUGAAUACAGCACAGCGUUCAACACCAUAGUCCCCUCGCAGCUCAUCACUAAGCUAAGGACCCUGGGACAGAACACCUCCCUCUGCAACGGGAUCCUGGACUUCCUGACGGGCCGCCCCCCAGGUGGUGAGGAUA